rnacentral:rRNA from 1 species
UACGUAGGGCGCAAGCGUUGUCCGGAAUUAUUGGGCGUAAAGAGCUCGUAGGCGGCUUGUCACGUCGGGUGUGAAAGCCCGGGGCUUAACCCCGGGUCUGCAUUCGAUACGGGCAGGCUAGAGUGUGGUAGGGAGGAUCGGAAUUCCUGGUGUAGCGGUGAAAUGCGCAGAUAUCAGGAGGAACACCGGUGGCGAAGGCGGAUCUCUGAGCCAUUACUGACGCUGAGGAGCGAAAGCGUGGGGAGCGAACAGG